GGGUGCGUAGCUCAGGGGAUAGAGCGACAGGUUCCGGUCCUGUAGGUCGUAGGUUCGAUUCCUACCGCGCUCG
rnacentral:tRNA from 1 species